GGCUAACGGCUGGCGGCGUGUCUUAGCCAUGCAAGUCGAGCGGACUUAUGGGGGUAACUUAUAAGUCAGCGGCGGACGGCGGAGUAACACGUAGCUAACCUACCCUCUGGACGGGGAUAACCUACCGAAAGGUGGGCUAAUACCCGAUGUAGUCAUCCUGUAUAGGGGUGAUGAAAGGUGGGCUUCUGUUUACAAGCUCAUGCUGGAGGAGGGGGCUGCGGCCUAUCAGGUAGUUGGUAGGGUAAUAGCCUACCAAGCCGAUGACGGGUAGCCGGCCUGAGAGGGUGACCGGCCCGAGGGGCACUGAGAUACGGGUCCCACUCCUACGGGAGGCAGCAGGCUAGAAAUUUGGGCAAUGGGGGAAACCCUGACCCAGUGACGCCGCGUGCAGGAAGGAGCCCUUCGGGGUGUAAACUGCUGUCGUGUAGGGAGAAGGGUACUAAGGUGAACAAUCUUAGUACUUGACGGUACUACAGGAGGAAGCCCAGGCUAACCUCGUGCCAGCAGCCGCGGUAAGAUAGCGUACU
rnacentral:rRNA from 1 species